UGGCUCUGAGGUUAAAGCGUCUGCCUGCAAUGCAGGAGACCUAGGUUCAAUCCCUGG
rnacentral:tRNA from 1 species